rnacentral:rRNA from 1 species
UACGGGGGGUGCAAGCGUCAUUCGGAAUCAUUGGGCGUAAAGGGCGCGUAGGCGGCCCCUUAAGUCAGAUGUGAAAGCCCUCAGCUUAACUGAGGAAGUGCAUUUGAAACUAAGGGGCUUGAGUAUGGGAGAGGGAAGCGGAAUUCCUGGUGUAGCGGUGAAAUGCGUAGAUAUCAGGAGGAACACCGGUGGCGAAGGCGGCUUCCGGGACCAAUACUGACGCUGAGGCGCGAAGGCGUGGGGAGCAAACAGG